rnacentral:rRNA from 1 species
AGCGAACGCUGGCGGCAGGCCUAACACAUGCAAGUCGAACGGACCCUUCGGGGUUAGUGGCGGACGGGUGAGUAACACGUGGGAACGUGCCCUUUGGUUCGGAACAACUCAGGGAAACUUGAGCUAAUACCGAAUGUGCCCUUCGGGGGAAAGAUUUAUCGCCAUUGGAGCGGCCCGCGUCUAAUUAGCUAGUAGGUGGGGUAAUGGCCUACCAAGGCGACGAUCAGUAGCUGGUCUGAGAGGAUGCUCAGCCACAUUGGGACUGAGACACGGCCCAAACUUCUACGGGAGGCCGCAGUGGGGAAGCUUGCGCAAUCGGCGAAAGCCUGACGCAGCCGUGACGCGUGAAUGAUGAAGGUCUUAGGAUUGUAAAAUUCUUUAACCGGGGACGAUAAUGGCGGUACCCGGAGAAGAAGCCCCGGCUAACUUCGUGCCAGACGCCGCUGUAACAC